rnacentral:rRNA from 1 species
ACGGGAGGCAGCAGUGAGGAAUAUUGGUCAAUGGGCGGAAGCCUGAACCAGCCAAGUCGCGUGAAGGAUGAAGGUAUUAUGUAUUGUAAACUUCUUUAGACGUAGAGAAAUAAGAGGCUCGUGAGCCUUGAUGCUAGUAUACGUAGAAUAAGGAUCGGCUAACUCCGUGCCAGCAGCCGCGGUAAUACGGAGGAUCCGAGCGUUAUCCGGAUUUAUUGGGUUUAAAGGGUGCGCAGGCGGCCCUGUAAGUCAGCGGUUAAAUCGUGGAGCUCAACUCCAUCCCGCCGUUGAUACUGCAGGGCUUGAUUGCGGUCGAGGUUGGCGGAAUUCGCCGUGUAGCGGUGAAAUGCAUAGAUAUGGCGAAGAACUCCGAUUGCGUAGGCAGCUGACCAGGCCGUAAAUGACGCUCAUGCACGAAAGUGCGGGGAUCGAACAGGAUUAGAUACCCUGGUA